GUCUUCGUGGCUCAGUUGGUUAGAGCGUUGGUCUCAUAUUUUCGAUGUGAUCCAAUCCCAGGUUGGGGUAUCCAAAGGUCGUGAGUUCGAGUCUCACCGAGGACA